AGGACUGAUACUUGAAAAAGUGAGUGACACUGGUGAAAACAGACAGAUGUUUACUGAUUCAGCCUUCACAUGCAAAACUGUUGAUGUUCAGAAGAUUUGGAACUGGGACUGAAUUUUUUGACUUUCAUAUGGCUACACAUGCAGAUACUACUAGCAAAUGACAAAGAGCUCAAAGGAACCCUGCUACCACUCCACACCCUUAAAGGAAAUGGAUGCUGUCCA